AGGGGUAACGGGGAGCUUGCUCCGCCGACGACCGGCGCACGGGUGCGCACCGCGUAUGGAACCUACCUUGUACAGGGGAAUAGCCCAGGGAAACUUGGAUUAAUGCCCCGUAGUACUAUUAUUCGGCAUCGUUUAAUAGUUAAAGAUUUCGGUCGGUACAAGAUGGCCNUGGCGUCCCAUUAGCUUGUUGGUAAGGUAACGGCUUACCAAGGCUACGAUGGGUAGGGGCCCUGAGAGGGGGAUCCCCCACACUGGUACUGAGACACGGACCAGACUCCUACGGGAGGCAGCAGUGAGGAAUAUUGGACAAUGGAGGAGACUCUGAUCCAGCCAUGCCGCGUGCAGGAAGAAUGCCCUAUGGGUAGUAAACUGCUUUUAUACGGGAAGAAAAAGAGCUACGUGUAGCUUACUGACGGUACCGUAAGAAUAAGGACCGGCUAACUCCGUGCCAGCAGCCGCGGUAAUACGGAGGGUCCGAGCGUUAUCCGGAAUUAUUGGGUUUAAAGGGUCCGUAGGCGGGCCGAUAAGUCAGGGGUGAAAGUUUGCAGCUCAACUGUAAAAUUGCCUUUGAUACUGUUGGUCUUGAGUUAUAGUGAAGUUGCCGGAAUAUGUANNUGUAGCGGUGAAAUGCAUAGAUAUUACAUAGAACACCGAUUGCGAAGGCAGGUGACUAACUAUAUACUGACGCUGAUGGACGAAAGCGUGGGGAGCGAACAGGAUUAGAUACCCUGGUAGUCCACGCCGUNNCGAUGGAUAC
rnacentral:rRNA from 1 species